GUCGGACGCCGAAGUUCGGGAGGCCGGCGCGCAGCAGGCCGAACUCAACAUCUGCGAUGGUCUGUGGGGGGAAGGGCGCUUUUCAGACCCCACGUGCCCUCUUUGAGUCCAGCUCUUCUUUCUGCGCUGCUCAGAAUAGUUGUUCAGUAAUUAAUCACACAAACUAAUGAAUAUUUAUACGGCGUGUAACUCUGACGUUUAAUCCUAAUGCUCCAGUUUUGACAGCAGUUGAUACACAACCUUAUGGAAAGCCCAGGCCGUUGCACGUAGCUGGAGCUUGUAAGGAGAAGCAGCUGAAAUCAGCCGGAGCUUCAGCGCGGAGCUGGGGCUUCAGUGAGCCAGAACUGUAGCAAGCGGGAGCUGGAACGAGGCGGGGUGUCCACUAUCUGGAGCGUGCAUUAGCCAGAGGCAAAAUUAACCUGUGGCUGUAACGAGCAGGAGCUGCAAUUAGCUGGAGCGUCUUUUUGCUGGAGCGUCCGUCAGCCGGACUGCGCUCCCAGCACGGCCGAAGGGCGUCCGGGCGCAGGCAGGGCUGUCGGCAGCAAGCAGCUCCGAGCAGCAGGGAGGCGAGUUGUCCUUCUGCCGGCGGGGAGCCCGGCCUCUUCCCUCGGGGAUGCAAUCCGCGCCACGCUCCUCUCUCUCUGCGUGGAGGGUCUCGCCCGGUCCGUUCCCGCGGGCAGAAGCGAGGUGGGGGUCCCCCGGCUCUCCUGGGGCAGCCCCCCUGUGAGGGGGCGCGGGCGAGGUGUCGUCGUCCCCUCGGUACCGGGCAAAGGGGAGAGAAACGGGCCGGUGGGAGCUCCUGGGGUGCGGAGAGCCCUUCCGGCAGAAUCCUCCCCUGUCUUUUCACCGUUGGCUGGGUGCGACAAGCAGGUUCAUUUCUUUGUCUCCUCUUUUCCCAGUGUCACCUUGCGCAUCACACGAAGAAAAUCCUGCGUGGUUAAUUCUGCUUGCUGCUCAGCUUGGAUGUCAGCUGGCACCGUUUCGCCCGUGGUUGCCCUUCUUCUGCCAUGACGGUACAAGACAGAUGGAAAGAAUCCAUAGUGGUCUGCAAGUACAAGGCUCUCCCAAGAAGCAUUAGCAGCCUUGUAACUAGUGAUAGUGAGUCCUGAGGUGUUUUUGAUGAGUUACUGCUUCAAUAAUGUAUUUUUUCCUUUAACCUACAGUGUGUAAUUUUUACUUCAGUUGGAAAGAGAUUUUCCACAAUGGAAGUCUUUCUCACUCAAAGAAAUUUUCUUUUAUGAACUUCCCAUCAGAGUGGAUCUUCAGAGGUGAUUGACCUGACAGUAGAAGUCAUCAGUAAUAAGACUUUUCAGUCUCU